UGGGGAAUCUUGGACAAUGGGCGCAAGCCUGAUCCAGCAAUGCCGCGUGGGUGAAGACGGCCUGCGGGUUGUAAAGCCCUUUUGGCGGGGAAGAAAGCCCUGGGUUGAACAGGCUCAGGGGGUGACGUUACCCGCUGAAGAAGCACCGGCCAACUCCGUGCCAGCAGCCGCGGUAAUACGGAGGGUGCAAGCGUUAAUCGGAAUUACUGGGCGUAAAGCGCACGUAGGCGGUCGUUCAAGUCCGUUGUGAAAGCCCCGGGCUCAACCUGGGAAUGGCAAGGGAAACUGAGCGACUGGAGUGUAACAGAGGACCGUGGAAUUCCCGGUGUAGCGGUGAAAUGCGUAGAGAUCGGGAAGAACACCGAUGGCGAAGGCAGCGGUCUGGGGUAACACUGACGCUGAGGUGCGACAGCGUGGGGAGCAAACA
rnacentral:rRNA from 1 species